rnacentral:rRNA from 1 species
GAUCAUGGCUCAGGAUGAACGCUAGCUACAGGCUUAACACAUGCAAGUCGAGGGGCUGCAUGGUCUUAGCUUGCUAAGGCUGAUGGCGACCGGCGCACGGGUGAGUAACACGUAUCCAACCUGCCGUCUACUCUUGGCCAGCCUUCCGAAAGGAAGAUUAAUCCAGGAUGGCAUCAUGAGUUCACAUGUCCGCAUGAUUAAAGGUAUUUUCCGGUAGACGAUGGGG